UACGGAGGGGGCUAGCGUUGUUCGGAAUUACUGGGCGUAAAGCGCACGUAGGUGGCUUUGUAAGUUAGGGGUGAAAGCCCGGGGCUCAACUCCGGAAUUGCCUUUAAGACUGCAUCGCUAGAACGUCGGAGAGGUAAGUGGAAUUCCGAGUGUAGAGGUGAAAUUCGUAGAUAUUCGGAAGAACACCAGUGGCGAAGGCGACUUACUGGACGACUGUUGACACUGAGGUGCGAAAGCGUGGGGAGCAAACGGG
rnacentral:rRNA from 1 species